rnacentral:lncRNA from 1 species
AGUUUGGAAUGGAUUAUUAUGGCCAUUAUUAUCAUGCAGAAAAUAUUUUAUUGAAAUUACUAAAAAAAAGCAAGUAUAAACUUUUAUUGGGAGUAUUUUUCUUUUAUAAUUUUUAUGUUGAUUUCCAAACAAGGAUUAUUAAACAAUGGAGUUAUUCUAGGGUCUGUUGUGAACUGCUUACACCAGUGGUUUCCAACAUGGGGCACAUGCCCCACAAGAGGACAAUCAAAGAAUGAGUUACUAACAAUGAAUUUUUUGCAUUUCUUAUGAUUCUAGAGGUCUCAUAUACAAUAUAUAAAUAUAUGUUAUGACGUACACAUUUUUUAAAUUUAAAAUGAAAAUGUAUAUGGCAAUCAGUUGGUGACAAUGGAGAGGAGGAGAGUCCACUAAUAGAAAGGAAUGGUUAGUACUUUUACUCUUUACCUCUCCAUUGUCAUCAGCUGACCGCCAUGUACAGUCUAUUGCAAAAAGAUUUUCAC